ACUUGGCCAUACCACUUUGAGAAUGCCCAAUCUCAUCUGACCUCGGAAGCUAAGCAGGGUUUGGCCUGGUUAAUACUUGGAUGAGAGACUGCAAGGAAUACCACUGGCUCUAGUG
rnacentral:rRNA from 1 species